UUAUAAUAUACUACUAAGAUGUAAGUGUGACAGAUACAGCAAUUUCCUGUAUUUUUCUGGAAGACUUACCUUAAACUUAAUUCAGUAUCUUUGGGGGGGUCCACUGUAUUAAAUGCAACUUUUAUAUGUUAUUGUGGACUGUGAGGGGGGAGAUGUGUUGUGAAGCCUAGGAAUUCAAAGCACUGUGUGGUAACUUCUAAUUGCCGGCAGUUACACUGUUCAUAGUCUGUGAAGAGAAAAGCAAAGUGCAGACACUGGCCCUUUUAGGCAGUCUGGUUUGCUGAAAAUAUCACAGUGUAAAGCAUAUUAAAAACCCCAGUUAGGAGGGAGAGAGAUGGGGGUCUCCACCCAGGACAGGUGAUGGCUAAGGAGCCAGAAAUCUUCAAGUGAGUGCCUUUGGUGGGCCAUGAAUUGGUAAUACAGGUGCAGUUACUCUGAAACUGACAUGGUGGGAAGGCAGUGUGUGUGUUAUCUAUGCCACUAUGAAUUGCCAGCAGUUACAAGUUACCACACAGCUCUUUGUAAGCAAGUACAUUUAUUCUUAAGUGACAGCAUUAAAGAGAAAACAUGAAAAUAAUGAAAGAACCUACACGUACUAAAAUGGUUACCAGAGGUCAUCCCCAGCUCCAGCCACAGGCUCUAGUAGGUGUCAAUCCUUAAAAAUCCACAACUGGGUUCAUACCUGUCUCAGAUUCAGAACUAGAACUCCUGGCUGAGCAGUUCAGCUGUUUCUUUAUAUAGCUCAGGCUUUUAAUCUCCAGUCUCUGGGAACAAGUAAUUAGCAGGCAAUGACCACACCUCAAGGUGUAGCUUCAAAAGGCUGGGAUUUUGCAUAACCAGAGGUGAGGAAUUUGCAUUAGCUUCUCCUUGGGUAUUCUCCAGGAAAUCCACUUCACCCUUACUGUCCCAAGGUUCAUUCUUAUUUGGCACAUUUUCAGUAUAGUCCUUUGAACUCCCAGGCCACACAUCUCCUUUCUGGAGAGGUUACAUGUAAUCCUGGCCCACAAUAAUACAUACAUUUUGCACUAAAUAGAAUGGACUCAAAAGAUACUUAAAUUUAAUUCAAUAAGGUCUCCCAAGGAUGUGUGGGAAAUUGCCAUAUCUAUCACAAUAAGCAAUUUUCAAGUAACAGCCCAUAUUUCAUGGCACUAUCUCCUAAAGCAGGGGUGGCCAACCUGUGGCUCCGGAGCCAUAUGCGGCUCUUCAGACGUUAGUAUGUGGCUUCUUUUAUAGGCACCGACUCGGGGGCUGGAGCUACAGGCACCAACUUUCCAAUGGGCCGGGAUUGCUCACUCCACCGCUUCCCGCCCCCUCCCCUGAGCCUGCCAUGCCCUCUCUCCUCCUCCUCCCCUCCAGAGCCUCCUGCAUGCCAGGAAACAGCUGAUUUGGGAGGUGUGGGGAGGGAGGGAGAGGCAAUGAUUGGCGGGGCUGCUGGUGGGUGGGAGGCGCUGGCGGAGGGGGAAACUGAUGGGUUGAUGAUGAAUUACUGUGGCUCUUUGGCAAUGUACAUUGGUAAACUCUGGCUCCUUAGGCUUAGGUUGGCCACCCCUGUCCUAAAGCCUCUGACUCUUCAUUGUGUAAGAAAGAUCAGUACAAUUAGAUUCAUACUUACAUGAUAACUGCUGUUAUGUUAUAGCAGCAGCAAACCUUUAAUAGCGAUCUCAGUAACGUUAUGGCACAAUUGCUCCUCAAAUGCAUUGAAUGUGUGACAGUUGGAUGUGCUAUCUUGUCUGCUCUGUGCCAGGAUGUCGCCAAACACCAUCAGCCCUUACUUGUACAAGAGCUAACACUUGAAACAAACAGAAUUACUCCACAAGUUUACAAUGACAUGGAGUAAUUCUUUUACCAUUAUGAAAUGAUAAGCAAAGAGUUGCAGGCAAAGAAUACUGUUACUUUUCUAUAAGCAAGUAGGCAUGAACAAUUUCAUUUCAUUCAUGAAUUCUAAUACAUUCAGCUCUUACAUUUUGUACCUAUAUGCAACAGUUGGGUUUAGUGUAUGGUUAAAUCACAUCUAUGUGAUCCUUAGUUCUCCUUUUGGAGCCAAGUAUCCCUAUAAAAAUCAUUUUGUGAUUCAUAGAAAACACUGUUGAGGUGUUGCUCAAAGGCCUGGAAUGGGGACUUAAAUCAUCAUUGCCACUGCCUUUAAUUGAUGAUGGCAUUGAAAAUCUCUCACUUGCAGGAUCAAUUUUCUGCUCUUCUACUUCAAUUGACAAAGUUUCAUUCAAUGGCACUCAUUCCUGGAGAAUAACUAACCACCCCCACCUACAAUUUUCUGCACUCUCUGAGAUGAGCAGAAAUCCUAUCUAGUUACUUAACUCUUGAUAAUGCUUAUAUUUAACUUUGUAAGAAUUAUUUGUUUAUUUUCUCA